UACGAAGGGGGCUAGCGUUGUUCGGAAUUACUGGGCGUAAAGCGCGCGCAGGCGGUCUUCCAAGUCAGUGGUGAAAGCCCGGAGCUCAACUCCGGAACUGCCAUUGAAACUGUUAGUCUUGAGGAUGGGAGAGGUGAGUGGAAUUCCCAGUGUAGAGGUGAAAUUCGUAGAUAUUGGGAAGAACACCGGUGGCGAAGGCGGCUCACUGGCUCAUUACUGACGCUCAGGCGCGAUAGCGUGGGGAUCAAGCAGG
rnacentral:rRNA from 1 species